UCUAAGAAAAGGGAGUCUUAAUAAAGAGGACAUUAAGUGUUCCCAGGAAUAGAAAUGGCUCAUUAGGAGAUUUGCCAUGCGGAGUUGCUUAUUGAGGUCGCAGCAGUUGGACAGAUUGUACAUGCCAGCAGGAUCUGAUCUGCUUGCUUUGACUUUGAAACUAACAACAACGAAGCUAUCAACAGUUGUACAGAAAGACGCCCUGACAACUACAGCCACACUGGGUACACUUCAAUAUAAUCUCCGCACUGUCUGGGAUUUAACUACCACCUAAGCAGGAAAAAGGUGAAUGUUAGUAUGAGGACAAGCCACCACCUUGAUCUCGCACCCAAAGCUGCUGCAGCCGCUGGAGUCGCCCAGGUCCCUCCUCCCCUCCCCGGUCAAAGAUGACAUCAUCCGUAGUAAGACUCGUGCAACAGGAGGGAUGGGUGUGGAUCUCACCACUGUAGCCCUGUGAACACCCCCCCCCCCCAUUAUCUACAUAUCUGAACAGACAGACAGACAGUCACUUCCUGCAGGCUGUCAAGUGUGUUAAGUAUAGUAAAUUGUCUCAAGUCCUGUAGUUAAGUACACAUUUAAAGCUUUUGUAUUAUGCUGAUUAGAUGUUUGCUGUGGUUUGAUUGGAGCUAUUCAGGGAUUAAUGUAUGUAUGUAAUGCAAGUAUUAAGUGAAAUGAUAAAGGUUCUCGCUCCUUUUCUUUCUUCCCUUUUCUCUUUUCAUAGACCUGUGUGCCAUGGAACAAAAAUGUUUAGACUAUAAUUUUAUUUGAUUUGUUUUACCUAAGAUAACUGUUAUCUUACACUGUUAUGCCUGUGUAUCAAUAUUGAUCUUGCAUCAAUAAUAUAUUGUAUUCUUCCCAUUCCCUGCUGUAUCAAAUUCUAACUGUUGAUGAAACCAUAAAGAAAACAUAAUAAAUUGUUUAAAAGAAAGAACAA